UACGAAGGGGGCUAGCGUUGUUCGGAAUUACUGGGCGUAAAGGGCGCGUAGGCGGCUUAGUUAGUCAGGCGUGAAAUUCCUGGGCUCAACCUGGGGACUGCGCUUGAUACGGCUAGGCUAGAGGAUGGAAGAGGGUCGCGGAAUUCCCAGUGUAGAGGUGAAAUUCGUAGAUAUUGGGAAGAACACCGGUGGCGAAGGCGGCGACCUGGUCCAUUACUGACGCUGAGGCGCGACAGCGUGGGGGAGCAAACAGG
rnacentral:rRNA from 1 species